rnacentral:misc_RNA from 1 species
UAUGAUGCAUGAAGAAAAACUGAGCUGUAAUAGAAAAUUGUUUUGUACCUUCCCGCGUAUCCUUUUCCUCUCGAUGUUCCUUUUUUCAAUUUAAACAAAUAAUGGGGGAACAUGGUUCAAAUCCAUUCCAUGAACUCAACCGUAGAUCGCUAAUGUACACAAAUGUAACAAUUUAAUGUCUCCUAGUUAGAACUACCUCAAUAAAUGUAGCCGGUAUCUAAUACAGGCAGCUGAGUAUUUCUCCUCUGCAGGACCCAAAAGUGGGAACAGGACCUGUCUCUUGGCAUGUACUAAGUAAUAUGUAAAUCUUUAUCAUCAAGAAUCCUUGUAUCAAA